GGCCCUAGAAAGCCCCGCAAGCA
rnacentral:tRNA from 1 species